GGACCCGCACAAGUAGUGGAGCAUGUGGUUUAAUUCGAAGAUACGCGCAGAACCUUACCAACACUUGACAUGUUCGUCGCGACUUUAAGAGAUUAAAGUUUUCGGUUCGGCCGGACAAAACACAGGUGCUGCAUGGCUGUCGUCAGCUCGUGUCGUGAGAUGUUGGGUUAAGUCCCGCAACGAGCGCAACCCUCACUUUUAGUUGCCAUCAUUUAGUUGGGCACUCUGAAAGAACUGCCAGUGAUAAGCUGGAGGAAGGUGGGGAUGACGUCAAGUCCUCAUGGCCCUUACGUGUUGGGCUACACACGUGCUACAAUGGUAUCUACAACAGGAAGCAAGACUGCGAAGUUAAGCAAAUCCCUAAAAGAUACCUCAGUUCGGAUUGCACUCUGCAACUCGAGUGCAUGAAGCUGGAAUUACUAGUAAUCGU
rnacentral:rRNA from 1 species